GUUAGGUUUACGAUUUAUAACCGUCGUUGCGGUGCAUUUAUGCAUUUAUUUACGCGUGCGCAUAAUAUAAUCGAUGCAUUAAUGUGUUAAACACAAAACACUGCGUGCAUCAUGAGAAAAUUAUCGGCAAAUGUUAAAAUGUCAUUUUCCUGUAUAUUGGGUUGCCUAUAUACAAAACUCAAUCAAAAAUCAAAAGAGUUAUGACUGAAUGUGUUCAUAUUAGCAUCGUAUGUUUCCUCCUAAAAAAGAAGAUGAACUGGUUAAUGGAAAAUCCGAAAUAACAAACAAAACGUCAGUUUCCACCAGUCCCACAGUCCCACUAAUAAAACCUGAAAAAUGACAGAGUUUAUUCUGAAGAUCAUCUAGUAAGUACGUAAUCUAAACAAAACUUGUUUGUUUAUUUGUGCAGCGGAGUUUUGUCUCUCGCCGACAUGCGGCGAGCGUCUUUUACACAAUAAACAACGUUAUGUUUG